GGCAGACCGCAAGGAUGGCGGCAGGGCAGGGCGGGUGGCUCCGGCCCGCGCUGGGGCUUCGCUUACUGCUGGCGACUGCGUUUCAAGCGGUGUCUGCUCUUGGGGCAGAGUUCUCGUCAGAGGCAUGCCGGGAGUUGGGCUUCUCCAGCAACUUGCUCUGCAGCUCCUGCGAUCUCCUUGGACAGUUUAACCUGCUUCCACUGGAUCCUGUCUGCAGAGGCUGCUGUCAGGAAGAAGCGCAGUUUGAAACCAAAAAGCUGUAUGCAGGAGCCAUCCUUGAAGUCUGUGGAUGAAAAUUGGGGAGGUUCCCUCAAGUCCAAGGUCUGUAGCAAUCAUUUAAAGUCAUCAUUUAUUAGGUUAAUUUCACUAAAUACUCCCAGCAACAUGGAUUUU
rnacentral:lncRNA from 1 species